ACCAGAGCCCAGGUCCUGCUGGCCCUGCUCCUCUCCCUGCCUUCACCUGCAGCUACUCCAACACCUGCAACAAGCUCUGUGGCUACUCUAAUCCACCAGGACAGGCCCUGCAGCUUCUCUGACCCCAGGGAGAAGCCCCGUGGCUACUCUAAUCCACCAGGAAAAGCCCUGUAGUUACUCUAACCCCCAUAACAAGCCCUGUCACUACUCUAAUCCCACAAAGAGACCCUGAGGCUACUCCAACCAUUUUGACAGCUCCUGUGGCUACUCCAAACAUGUGACACCUCCUGUGGCUAUCCAAGAUCCUGUGGCUAUCCAAUCACUGUGACAUCUGCUUUGGCUAUCCAACCAUUGUGAUGCCUCCUGUGGCCACUCCAACUCCUCUAAAUGUUUACUUGGCAUCAGUGGGACUAAGUCACUGUGCCCAGAACCAGGAUUUUUUUCAUUCCUUUCAUUUCAUCUUCUCUGUUUCUUCCUCUCCUAAGUUUGGCCCCCCGUGCCCUGUGACCUCUGCUGCCUUGGCACCCGUGUGACUCCAUCAAACCCAAAACUGCCCAGGAGGAGAACGCUGCAUUUAAUCAACCCAGAACAGCAGAACAACAUAAAGGUGACACGGCCAAGAAAGUCCUCAAACACAGACACCACUGGCCACAACUGCAGUGAGACAACACAACAUUUCACUUCCAUCAGAGGAAAAAAGGAAAAUAGAAAAAAAGAAACCAGUGGAAGGCUUAAGAUCAGCUCGACAGAGCAGAGCUCACAGAUGGUAUGUGCUGUCUUGAAAUCUUUCCUUAUAGUUUAUAUUUCCAUUUUAAGUUUUAUGCUCUAUUUUU
rnacentral:lncRNA from 1 species